rnacentral:rRNA from 1 species
UCGGCGGGGAAGAAAUCGCAUGGGUUAAUACCCUGUGCGGAUGACGGUACCGGCAUAAGAAGCACCGGCUAACUACGUGCCAGCAGCCGCGGUAAUACGUAGGGUGCGAGCGUUAAUCGGAAUUACUGGGCGUAAAGCGUGCGCAGGCGGUUUGUUAAGAUAGGCGUGAAAUCCCCGGGCUCAACCUGGGAACUGCGCUUAUGACUGGCAAGCUAGAGUACGGCAGAGGGGGGUGGAAUUCCACGUGUAGCAGUGAAAUGCGUAGAGAUGUGGAGGAACACCAAUGGCGAAGGCAGCCCCCUGGGUCGAUACUGACGCUCAUGCACGAAAGCGUGGGUAGCAAACAGGAUUAGAUACCCUGGUAGUCCACGCCCUAAACGAUGUCAACUAGGUGUUGGAUGGGUAAAACCAUUUAGUACCGGAGCUAACGCGUGAAGUUGACCGCUGGGGAGUACGGCCGCAAGGUUAAAACUCAAAGGAAUUGACGGGGACCCGCACAAGCGGUGGAUGAUGUGGAUUAAUUCGAUGCAACGCGAAAAACCUUACCUACCCUUGACAUGUCCAGGAGCCUGAAGAGAUUUGGGUGUGCCCGAAAGGGAACUGGAACACAGGUGCUGCAUGGCUGUCGUCAGCUCGUGUCGUGAGAUGUUGGGUUAAGUCCCGCAACGAGCGCAACCCUUGUCGUUAACUGCCAUCAUUUAGUUGGGCACUUUAACGAGACUGCCGGUGACAAACCGGAGGAAGGUGGGGAUGACGUCAAGUCCUCAUGGCCCUUAUGGGUAGGGCUUCACACGUCAUACAAUGGUCGGUACAAAGGGUUGCCAAGCCGCGAGGUGGAGCCAAUCCCAGAAAGCCGAUCGUAGUCCGGAUUGCAGGCUGCAACUCGCCUGCAUGAAGUCGGAAUCGCUAGUAAUCGUGGAUCAGCAUGUCACGGUGAAUACGUUCCCGGGUCUUGUACACACCGCCCGUCACACCAUGGGAGCGGGUUCCGCCAGAAGUAGGUAGCCUAACCGCAAGGGGGGCGCUUACCACGGCGGGGUUCGUGACUGGGGUGAAGUCGUAACAAGGUAGCCGUA